GUGCCACCCCCGUCCGUCCAUGCCGGGGCCAUCGUGGCCGCUCCGUACCUGGACGAUGGCGAGUGGUACCGGGCGCGUGUCCUGGGGACGCUGGACAACGGCCACCUGGACCUGUACUACGUGGACUUUGGGGACAACGGCCAGGCCCCCCCCGAGGCUCUGCGGGCCCUCAGGAGCGACUUCCUGAGCCUGCCCUUCCAGGCCAUCGAGUGCAGCCUGGCCGGGAUUGUCCCCAACGGUGGCACGUGGCCCGAGGCGGCCGUGCAGGAGUUCGAGCGGCUCACGGGCUGCGCUCAGUGGUGCCCGUUGGUGGCGCGGAUCUGCAGCUACGGCCCUGCCAGGA